GGUUAAGCGACUAAGCGUACACGGUGGAUGCCCUGGCAGUCAGAGGCGAUGAAGGACGUGCUAAUCUGCGAUAAGCGUCGGUAAGGUGAUAUGAACCGUUAUAACCGGCGAUUUCCGAAUGGGGAAACCCAGUGUGUUUCGACACACUAUCAUUAACUGAAUCCAUAGGUUAAUGAGGCGAACCGGGGGAACUGAAACAUCUAAGUACCCCGAGGAAAAGAAAUCAACCGAGAUUCCCCCAGUAGCGGCGAGCGAACGGGGAGGAGCCCAGAGCCUGAAUCAGUGUGUGUGUUAGUGGAAGCGUCUGGAAAGGCGCGCGAUACAGGGUGACAGCCCCGUACACAAAAAUGCACAUGCUGUGAGCUCGAUGAGUAGGGCGGGACACGUGGUAUCCUGUCUGAAUAUGGGGGGACCAUCCUCCAAGGCUAAAUACUCCUGACUGACCGAUAGUGAACCAGUACCGUGAGGGAAAGGCGAAAAGAACCCCGGCGAGGGGAGUGAAAAAGAACCUGAAACCGUGUACGUACAAGCAGUGGGAGCACGCUUAGGCGUGUGACUGCGUACCUUUUGUAUAAUGGGUCAGCGACUUAUAUUCUGUAGCAAGGUUAACCGAAUAGGGGAGCCGAAGGGAAACCGAGUCUUAACUGGGCGUUAAGUUGCAGGGUAUAGACCCGAAACCCGGUGAUCUAGCCAUGGGCAGGUUGAAGGUUGGGUAACACUAACUGGAGGACCGAACCGACUAAUGUUGAAAAAUUAGCGGAUGACUUGUGGCUGGGGGUGAAAGGCCAAUCAAACCGGGAGAUAGCUGGUUCUCCCCGAAAGCUAUUUAGGUAGCGCCUCGUGAAUUCAUCUCCGGGGGUAGAGCACUGUUUCGGCAAGGGGGUCAUCCCGACUUACCAACCCGAUGCAAACUGCGAAUACCGGAGAAUGUUAUCACGGGAGACACACGGCGGGUGCUAACGUCCGUCGUGAAGAGGGAAACAACCCAGACCGCCAGCUAAGGUCCCAAAGUCAUGGUUAAGUGGGAAACGAUGUGGGAAGGCCCAGACAGCCAGGAUGUUGGCUUAGAAGCAGCCAUCAUUUAAAGAAAGCGUAAUAGCUCACUGGUCGAGUCGGCCUGCGCGGAAGAUGUAACGGGGCUAAACCAUGCACCGAAGCUGCGGCAGCGACGCUUAUGCGUUGUUGGGUAGGGGAGCGUUCUGUAAGCCUGUGAAGGUGUGCUGUGAGGCAUGCUGGAGGUAUCAGAAGUGCGAAUGCUGACAUAAGUAACGAUAAAGCGGGUGAAAAGCCCGCUCGCCGGAAGACCAAGGGUUCCUGUCCAACGUUAAUCGGGGCAGGGUGAGUCGACCCCUAAGGCGAGGCCGAAAGGCGUAGUCGAUGGGAAACAGGUUAAUAUUCCUGUACUUGGUGUUACUGCGAAGGGGGGACGGAGAAGGCUAUGUUGGCCGGGCGACGGUUGUCCCGGUUUAAGCGUGUAGGCUGGUUUUCCAGGCAAAUCCGGAAAAUCAAGGCUGAGGCGUGAUGACGAGGCACUACGGUGCUGAAGCAACAAAUGCCCUGCUUCCAGGAAAAGCCUCUAAGCAUCAGGUAACAUCAAAUCGUACCCCAAACCGACACAGGUGGUCAGGUAGAGAAUACCAAGGCGCUUGAGAGAACUCGGGUGAAGGAACUAGGCAAAAUGGUGCCGUAACUUCGGGAGAAGGCACGCUGAUAUGUAGGUGAAGUCCCUCGCGGAUGGAGCUGAAAUCAGUCGAAGAUACCAGCUGGCUGCAACUGUUUAUUAAAAACACAGCACUGUGCAAACACGAAAGUGGACGUAUACGGUGUGACGCCUGCCCGGUGCCGGAAGGUUAAUUGAUGGGGUUAGCGGUAACGCGAAGCUCUUGAUCGAAGCCCCGGUAAACGGCGGCCGUAACUAUAACGGUCCUAAGGUAGCGAAAUUCCUUGUCGGGUAAGUUCCGACCUGCACGAAUGGCGUAAUGAUGGCCAGGCUGUCUCCACCCGAGACUCAGUGAAAUUGAACUCGCUGUGAAGAUGCAGUGUACCCGCGGCAAGACGGAAAGACCCCGUGAACCUUUACUAUAGCUUGACACUGAACAUUGAGCCUUGAUGUGUAGGAUAGGUGGGAGGCUUAGAAGUGUGGACGCCAGUCUGCAUGGAGCCGACCUUGAAAUACCACCCUUUAAUGUUUGAUGUUCUAACGUUGACCCGUAAUCCGGGUUGCGGACAGUGUCUGGUGGGUAGUUUGACUGGGGCGGUCUCCUCCUAAAGAGUAACGGAGGAGCACGAAGGUUGGCUAAUCCUGGUCGGACAUCAGGAGGUUAGUGCAAUGGCAUAAGCCAGCUUGACUGCGAGCGUGACGGCGCGAGCAGGUGCGAAAGCAGGUCAUAGUGAUCCGGUGGUUCUGAAUGGAAGGGCCAUCGCUCAACGGAUAAAAGGUACUCCGGGGAUAACAGGCUGAUACCGCCCAAGAGUUCAUAUCGACGGCGGUGUUUGGCACCUCGAUGUCGGCUCAUCACAUCCUGGGGCUGAAGUAGGUCCCAAGGGUAUGGCUGUUCGCCAUUUAAAGUGGUACGCGAGCUGGGUUUAGAACGUCGUGAGACAGUUCGGUCCCUAUCUGCCGUGGGCGCUGGAGAACUGAGGGGGGCUGCUCCUAGUACGAGAGGACCGGAGUGGACGCAUCACUGGUGUUCGGGUUGUCAUGCCAAUGGCACUGCCCGGUAGCUAAAUGCGGAAGAGAUAAGUGCUGAAAGCAUCUAAGCACGAAACUUGCCCCGAGAUGAGUUCUCCCUGACCCUUUAAGGGUCCUGAAGGAACGUUGAAGACGACGACGUUGAUAGGCCGGGUGUGUAAGCGCAGCGAUGCGUUGAGCUAACCGGUACUAAUGAACCGUGAGGCUUAACCUU
rnacentral:rRNA from 1 species